rnacentral:lncRNA from 1 species
AGAGUUUUCACACCCUGUUCAGCAAACUGGUUCUUCUACAGUGCUCUCGACCGCCAAAGAAAUCUACACUACACCCACUACUUCUCAAAACUCUCAGAUCCCUGCGAAACCAUCAGAAGAAGAAACUCCUCUGCUAACGGAAGCGGUGUUGGAGGCAUGGUCUUUCGUACUCAGACGCCGAAUCUUCUCCAUCUCAUAUUAAUCGGCCCAGUGAUCGAAAACUCUAUCAAAACUUCAUAACUUCCUAUAGGGCAAACUCGCUCUUUCUCACUCGGCCAUGUGGAGAAAGUCGCUGAGUUUUUCAUUCAAACUGGCCCAUUCCAAUUCGAAUUAUUAACUCCACUUGUUGUUCCGCACUUCCUCAAAACCUUCUUAUCGUGGCCUUCCUAGCCGAUCUAAUUCCACAAGCCUACAUUCCACAUUGACAGCCGAUCCGGUAGGUGGUCUGAUUUGGGUCUUGGAAGCAUAAAAUUUGGGCUCAUGUCGAGUCAACCAGGGCCGCUGACUUAUCGUUGUUAGUGGCUUCAUCGAUGUGGAAGGCUAAAGAUGUGGCGUAAUUGGCCAAGCAUUGCGACUUUUGUUAUUGGGAGCUCUCAAAAGCUCAUCUGAGGUGUGUUUAAACUGGUUUUACACCCACUUCACCUUUUUUUUUUUAACAAAUUUCAAUUUUGAGAUGGAAUUUCGUGAACUCAAGAAACGUAUUUGUCUGUUUGCAAUAGCUUUUGUCACUUAAAAUAGAUCAAAGCUACUUUUAUUUGACAUAACUGGAUGAAGAAUUUACAACUUCUGCAUUUGCAGUAGAGGCCCUAGAGGGUAAGGGAGAGAGGCAGUAGUUGAUAAUCUGCACAUGUUACCUACAAUGCAUAGUUUUGUCCAUUUUCCUCCACUCUGCUAUAAUUAAUUAUGAACUUUUUGUACUUCCAGCCCUCAACUCUGCUGCUGCCGCCGGC